rnacentral:lncRNA from 1 species
AAUGACACCACGGCCCAGGCCCAUCUUCACUUUCUCCUGCCCCAAGACAUGGUGUCUGGAAGAAGGAGAGAGCAGGAGGUGGCACCGCUGGUUCCGGGAGCCAGGGGCCGGGCAGGACUCGCCCCUGCCAGGCAGAGGGAGACCCCUCAAGACCUUGGCCUUGCUGGUCGGAAGUCCGAGCCCUGCGUGGGUGGCUCAGAUAACAGGGAGCGACAGCCUCUUCCAACUCGCCCUUUGUGAACACAGGCCUUGGCCCAUCUCAGCUCUGGGGCUCAGGCCCCCAUCCUCUCCUCCAACAGCGCCUCCUCGUCCCGAGUGCCAGUCAGGCAGCUGAGACCCAGCUUCCCCAGAGAACUUGCUUCUCCUAAAGUCCUCCCCAGUGGGGGCUGUUCAUCCUCCUACAUCCCUGACCCUGGGCGCCACGAGAAGGUCCGAUUCUCCUGGCCUCCAAACUUCUCCUUCCACAGCAGCCAUGUAGCCACCUCCCUGGACAGUCCCCCCUUCUCCCAGCCACAUCCCUGACCUCCACAGGCCCAUGGAUCACCAUGUGCAUCACAGGAGAAGGGCAUGUGGGCCUGACCUGGUCUUCUCUGCACCACUCAGCUUCCUUGUGGAUGGCCUUCCGAGCCCCUGGCCCCUUGCUGCCUGUUCAACUCAUCUCCAGUGUGACCUUCUCCUUCAUUCCUGUCCCCCCACAUAUGAGUCAUGGCCACACCUGGGACCUUGGUGUCAGGUCUGAGGCCUCUGAUGCCGACGCUUCAGCCACAGCUCCCCAUCUCCGUUGCCCCCUCCCCACCUGUCCUUGGCCCUCAUGGCGCUGCCAGUGUAGACAAAUGGAGAUGGUGUGGUGUGAGCAGCUUAAGCCUCAUGGUCCAUCACUUCAGCCACGCUCUUGUCGAUACUUUGUGCUAGAUAGAAUAAUGUCCCCAGAGAUGCC